rnacentral:rRNA from 1 species
UACAGAGGGUGCAAGCGUUAAUCGGAAUUACUGGGCGUAAAGCGCGCGUAGGUGGUUUGUUAAGUUGGAUGUGAAAGCCCCGGGCUCAACCUGGGAACUGCAUUCAAAACUGACAAGCUAGAGUAUGGUAGAGGGUGGUGGAAUUUCCUGUGUAGCGGUGAAAUGCGUAGAUAUAGGAAGGAACACCGGUGGCGAAGGCGGCUCUCUGGACCGAGACUGACGCUGAGGCGCGAAAGCGUGGGGAGCAAACAGG